GCCCGGAUGGCGGAACUGGCAGACGCAAGGGACUUAAAAUCCCUGGACCGCAAGGUUGUGCGGGUUCAAUCCCCGCUCUGGGCACCA
rnacentral:tRNA from 3 species